CCCCAAUCAGGCCCCUGGUAUAUAAGCCAGGUCGGGAGGAGGGCAGCUUCAGACACUUCCCAGUUCUUCUGGACAACACAACUACCUUUCCUCCGUUCCCUUCAAGAUGCAGACCGUCACCAUCUUGCUCUGCGUGGCUGCUGCCGCCGCUGCAUUGCCGCAGGGCUUCUUCCCAGGUGGUCUGUUCAGUCAGAACGGUCAGGCGACCGGAAGUGCCGCCGGCAAUGUGGUGUCCGGGGUCAGCAGUGAUCCCUUCCAGAACUCUCGGAUCACGCAAGUCAGCGCCACCGCCUCGGGUUCAGCCAGAGGCAAUGCUGUAAGCUCCAACGUCGCCAGCGCAUCCAACGUCGUUUCCUCGGGGUUGUUUGGCAACCAGGAGUUCUCAAACACCAACGCCGUCUCCAACCAGCAGACGUUCGGUAGUGGACUUAGCGGAAGUUACCAGCAGCCGAUCGGUCAAUUCCGGCGGCAGUACCGCAGGCGGAACUUCUACUAAUCAUGAUCUAGCUGGUCCAGCGUUCGGGGAGUUGUUAGGGCAUCUGUUAAUAGUGUGUAGCGAUGUGUGUGGCACGGAUGAAAGAGCAUUCAGUUUGUAAUAAUUGCAUUCGUACUCCUCGUCGUUUUCAAACCCACAUAACCCUAAUUGUGUUCCAUUGUCAUAGCAUGAAAUAAAUGAACUAUCUGACGAA